GACGAACCGUGCGAACGUUGUUCGGAAUCACUGGGCUUAAAGGGCGCGUAGGCGGCCCGCUAAGUCGAACGUGAAAUCCCCGAGCUCAACUCGGGAACUGCGUCCGAUACUGGUGGGCUUGAAUCCGGGAGAGGGAUGCGGAAUUCCAGGUGUAGCGGUGAAAUGCGUAGAUAUCUGGAGGAACACCGGUGGCGAAGGCGGCUCACUGGCCCGAUACUGACGCUGAGGUGCGAAAGCGUGGGGAGCAAACAGG
rnacentral:rRNA from 1 species